CGGUCGACCGGCGCACGGGUGAGUAACGCGUAUCCAACCUGCCCACCACUUGGGGAUAACCUUGCGAAAGUAAGACUAAUACCCAAUGAUAUCUCUAGAAGACAUCUGAAAGAGAUUAAAGAUUUAUCGGUGAUGGAUGGGGAUGCGUCUGAUUAGCUUGUUGGCGGGGUAACGGCCCACCAAGGCAACGAUCAGUAGGGGUUCUGAGAGGAAGGUCCCCCACAUUGGAACUGAGACACGGUCCAA
rnacentral:rRNA from 1 species